AGAGUUUGAUCAUGGCUCAGGACGAACGCUGGCGGCGUGCUUAACACAUGCAAGUCGUGCGGUAAGGCCCUUCGGGGUACACGAGCGGCGAACGGGUGAGUAACACGUGAGUAACCUGCCCUGUACUUUGGGAUAAGCCUGGGAAACUGGGUCUAAUACCGGAUAGGACCUGCUCCUGCAUGGGGGUGGGUGGAAAGCUC
rnacentral:rRNA from 1 species